UCUGUCUCUCUCUGUCUCUCAAAAACAAAUAAGUGUAAAAAUAAGAAAAUAUUUUUUAAAUGAGAGUGUUUUAUCUCUUGUCAAAGAAUAAAACUAGGAAUGGGGCACCUGGGUGGCUCAGUCGGUUGAGCACUGUGCAACUCUUGAUCUCAGGAUCAUGAGUUCAAGCCACAGGCUGGGCUUAGAGCUUACUUUA